UACAGAGGUCUCAAGCGUUGUUCGGAUUCAUUGGGCGUAAAGGGUGCGUAGGCGGCGCGGCAAGUCGGGUGUGAAAUCUCGGAGCUUAACUCCGAAACUGCAUUCGAUACUGCCGUGCUCGAGGACUGGAGAGGAGACUGGAAUUUACGGUGUAGCGGUGAAAUGCGUAGAUAUCGUAAGGAAGACCAGUGGCGAAAGCGGCGCGCUGGAUCCCUUCUGACGCUGAGGCGCGAAAGCCAGGGGAGCAAACGGG
rnacentral:rRNA from 1 species